UUAUAUUUUGGGGUUUGUGUGAUUAGAAUUCGAGUUUAGGCUAUUUUUUGGGUAGUUGUUGGGAGGCUCGUGGUUGCAUACAUGUCUGACGUCUUGAUGAGUUUGGGAUUGUGGUUCUUUGUGGCUUGUGAGUAUAAUGGAUUGUGUUGACUUUUUGUGGUGUUGUUGGAGUUUGUUUUUGUUAGACAGUAGUUAAUGAGUAUUAAGCGUUAAUUACUUUAUGUUAAUUUAGUUGUACUUGGAAUUUCUGUUAUUGGGCCUCUCGGAUAUUUAGGGUCUGUUUUUACUGUGUUAGCUCAUAAUAUAUAAGUGAGCUUGUACUCUAUGUCAAUUGAGGAAUACAAUUACAUUUUACAUUUUCCUCCCAAAAUCUGUCUUUAAUGGUAUCAGCGCACAAACAACUCCUACAUGGCGUCGGUACAUAGCACUACCUCUCCACCUGAGAAAUCACAACCUGUUACUCCAUUUCGGGCAGAAUCGACUACUUCUCUGUUGGUCACUCCGAUGGCAUCAACGAUUACAGAGCUUCCUACGCUCCCUAGCCUCCUUUCGGUCAAUCAACCGUUAGCUGUCAAGCUGGAUGAUAAAAAAAAAAAUUGGUCUAGAAAAUUCAAUUAUUGAACAUUGUUAUUACCAAUGGUCUUGAGGAUAUCCUGGAUGGAUCUCGUCCUUCCCCCUCUCGUCUGACUACUUCUCAACCUUCCCAAGUGAAUACUGAUUAUACCACUUGGCAGAGGUACAAUCGACUUCUUAUGUCUUGGAUUUAUGCUUCUGUCUCUGAAAACAUGCUCGACCAACUGGUUGGUUUUGCUAAUGCAUCUGAAAUUUGGUCUGCUUUGGAACAACUUUAUUCGGUUGUUCCAUUUUCUCACAUCUCUAAAAUUCGCACCUCGCUACAAACAAUUAAGAAAGAGGGUCUUACCUCCAUUGCUUAUGUCCAGAAGUUUCGGAGCAUUUGCAAUACUCUUGCUGCAAUUGGAGAGCCUCUAAGUUACACAGAUCAUCUUCAUUAUUUUCUAAAUGGGUUGGGGCCCGAAUACAACGCAUUCGUUACCUCUCUGCAAAACAGAUCUGAUCGACCUUCUAUGGAGGUUGUACACAGUCUAUUGCUUACUCAAGAUGCUCGUCUUGAACACCAAACAACUGCUGCAACCUUGAGCUCCUUCAAGCUAAUAUAGCAAAUUUGAAUCUGCCCAAACCGAAGCCCAGAUUAUCUUCUCCUGCUAGCUCCCCACCCUCGAUGUCAUUUUCUGCUCCUGGCAAUUUUUCACGGCCUCGGGGACCACCACCUUCUUUGUACUCUCAGCAACAACCUUCGUGGUCCCCUUCCUUUCGGCCUCCAACCAGACCUUGGUGUCAGAUUUGUUUGAAGCCAGGACAUAUGGCUGACAGAUGUUAUCAUCGAGCGAAUUUGUAGUAUCAUCCACCUUCCCCUGCACCCAGGAACUUCAAUACGUAUAUUCUCCCACCUGGAUCUCUUCCUCAAUCUGUUCAAGCCACUGCUGCUUCUGUUCUCGAUCCGGUGUGGUAUACGGACUGAGGUGCUUCCUAUCACUUCACUCCAGAUCUCAACAUGUUAGACUCGGCUGUAACAUACACUGGUAAUGAGAAAGUGACUGUGGGAAAUGGAAAGCAAGCACCCAUUACUCAUGUCGGUCAAAAACUAGGUUCUUCUGCGGGGACAGCUUGAUAAUGGUCUGUACCGAGUCAGCCCCUUCUCUUUUAGCAGUGCUGCCUCUUCUCCUCAAGUCCAUGUUGCUACAAGCAAUCCUUCUCAUCUAUGGAAUUUUAUUUUGGGUUAUCCGAGCAAAGAUGUCGUUAAAUCUGUCUUGUCAUUAUGUAAUUCGACAUCUACUUCUUAUUAUAGUUCCGACCGUAAUGCCUGUCAGUUGGCUAAAUAAAAUAGAUUGCCCUUUGUGUUAUCUAACUCUCGUGCUCCUUCAAUGUUUGAAUUAAUACAUACAGAUUUAUGGGGUACUUCCAAUGUUAAUUCCAUUACUGGUGUUCGGUAUUU